AGUCGAGCGGUAAGGCCUUUCGGGGUACACGAGCGGCGAACGGGUGAGUAACACGUGGGUGAUCUGCCCUGCACUUCGGGAUAAGCCUGGGAAACUGGGUCUAAUACCGGAUAUGACCUCAUGUUGCAUGACUUGGGGUGGAAAGAUUUAUCGGUGCAGGAUGGGCCCGCGGCCUAUCAGCUUGUUGGUGGGGUAAUGGCCUACCAAGGCGACGACGGGUAGCCGACCUGAGAGGGUGACCGGCCACACUGGGACUGAGACACGGCCCAGACUCCUACGGGAGGCAGCAGUGGGGAAUAUUGCACAAUGGGCGAAAGCCUGAUGCAGCGACGCCGCGUGAGGGAUGACGGCCUUCGGGUUGUAAACCUCUUUCAGCAGGGACGAAGCGCAAGUGACGGUACCUGCAGAAGAAGCACCGGCUAACUACGUGCCAGCAGCCGCGGUAAUACGUAGGGUGCAAGCGUUGUCCGGAAUUACUGGGCGUAAAGAGUUCGUAGGCGGUUUGUCGCGUCGUUUGUGAAAACCAGCAGCUCAACUGCUGGCUUGCAGGCGAUACGGGCAGACUUGAGUACUGCAGGGGAGACUGGAAUUCCUGGUGUAGCGGUGAAAUGCGCAGAUAUCAGGAGGAACACCGGUGGCGAAGGCGGGUCUCUGGGCAGUAACUGACGCUGAGGAACGAAAGCGUGGGUAGCGAACAGGAUUAGAUACCCUGGUAGUCCACGCCGUAAACGGUGGGCGCUAGGUGUGGGUUCCUUCCACGGAAUCCGUGCCGUAGCUAACGCAUUAAGCGCCCCGCCUGGGGAGUACGGCCGCAAGGCUAAAACUCAAAGGA
rnacentral:rRNA from 1 species